rnacentral:tRNA from 1 species
AAAGCAGUAGUGUAACGGUAAACACACCAGUAGUUUUAACAUUACCUACCCGGUCAAUUAAUACUUACUUCCAGCAUUUGGGCCUGGGACUGUUGGUUCGAAUCCAACCUGCUUUACCA